GGACUACCGGGGUAUCUAAUCCCGUUCGCUCCCCUGGCUUUCGUGUCUCAGCGUCGGCACAUCCCCAGCUACCUGUUUUCACCAUUGGCGUUCCAAACGAUAUCUACGCAUUUCACCGCUCCACCGUUUGUUCCGGUAGCCCCUAGAUGGCCCAAGACAACCAGUAUACCAAGCAGUUCCACGGUUAAGCCGUGGGAUUUCACAAGGUACUUAGAAGUCCGCCUACACACGCUUUAAGCCCAGUGAUUCCGCCUAACGCUCGGCACCUCUGUCUUACCGCGGCUGCUGGCAC
rnacentral:rRNA from 1 species